CGCCGCCCACCCGCCAGCUCGCCAGAGAGGAUUCUGGAGGGCGGUAGAAACUAAGUCUGGAGACCUGUCUCAUACUGCUGGCCAGACCCUAGGCAGGUCUUUCAGGGCCCAAGUUUCCUCAUCUGCAAAAUAAAGUGGUCAUCGAAAAUGACCUGUGGAGCCGCCCACUAGAUUUGAAAUUCUGUGUGCAAACUGCCCCCGGAGCAGCUGAAAGGAAAUCGAGGUGUUCACUUGCCCCCUUUGAAGUCCAGGGAUUGUCAAGAAAUUCCUUUAACGAAUUCUCCCUGAUUUUGCUUUAUCAAGUGCGGCUUCUUGUUAAUCUGGAAAAUGGGAAUACAUACCUCUCCUCUCAGCUUGCCGUGAUGGUUGGGAAAAUGUGUAUGUGAACACAAUAUUGAAAUGUACCUAGAGACACAACAUAGGUAGGUAGGUAGGUAGGUAGGUAGAUACUGCUAUCCGUACUAUUACUCGAUCAUUCUAUUUUUAGUGCCUGAAAUCUACCUGAUGGUGUCCAGAUUUUAUUGCUUCUUUCAGUUUAAAGAGCAAGAAUUUAUGCUUCCAGUGCCUUUGGAAGAGGAAGGGAAGAAGUUUGUUCUGGUUAUGUUUUGUACCGCAAAUGUGGAAAAGAAAUGUUGCCUGCAACCACACACACAUAACUUGGCUUCUUUGGUCAACAUCCCUUUCCUUUAAGAGUGUAUAACACUGUAGUGCUUUUACAUGACAGAUGCAGCAUUCAUCUCAAACAGGGUUUUUUGGGAUGUUUCAGACUGGUGACAUUUUGGAUUGGGUAAGGUGCCUUACAAAUUCCUUGUUAAAUUUCAGUGCUGCCCCUUGAAGCAUUACAUUGUGGUGGCUAAAGGCACGGCUGCAAGUCAGAUACCAAACUACCGAACCAUAAGCCAGAGCCUCUGCUGCACACACCACCAGCCCCUGAGGUGGGGAUGACAAACAUAACAGAGAACGGAAUGGUAAGGCGUGAGUGCGGUUCUGCAGGCUUAUGGUAUUUCUGCCAUUUGAGUGCCUGCUUCCCUUCCUAGAUGUCUUGACCUCAUUGAGCAGUUUAUUCAUUGUCAUAUCCCCCAGUAGUGUCCACGGUGAGUGUUCAAUAAAUGAUAUUUGUUAACCACACAGAAGUGACAGCAGCACCAUCAAGAGAACAUGUGCUUUGAGCUGCUUUUCCAAGAAUGGAAAUGGAUUUGCUUUGAUCCAUUCAUGUGACCAGGGGCACGCUUUGUAAGGGUUAGGAACAUAAUACAUGACCACUGACUCUUUCAGGAGUGAACAAGAGGCCUUGUCCUCCUUGGCCAGCCCCACAUUUACUUAAAAUGAUGAAAUUAGGGCGCAGAUGAGUCCAAGAACUGACCAGGGAGGCUUGAGCAUAGGCGAGAAGUAAAAGCAGAAGAAAACCCUUAACUGGUUCACCCGCAGAAACCCAGACUGUACUUUUAGAGAAGUUAAAAGUAAAACAGCCUGUUUCAUCCAGUUUGACUUUGCUGUGUCUGCUGCCCUUUCUUCUCCUUCCCCUUCUUCCCUAAAUUGCCACCCGCCCCCAUUCUUCACCCCCACCAUAAAAAGAGCAUUAGAAUGCUUGAACCCAUGAACUUUUCUGUUUCUUGGUACACACCAUAUCAGUGCUGACAAGGGGUUCCAUUGCAUGUGCUUUGAAGUCAUAUUUUUCUCUCUUAGAGUAGAAUUGCCAUGUCCAAGGGGUGGGUGGAGUGGGAGAGCAAUUACAGGGAAAGAUUUUGUUCCAAAUCUGCAGAAAUAGCCUGAGAUUAAAAGUAUUUCUUCAAUGUUGUUCUGCUGCCUGAAAUAAAAGCUUUGUAUUAGGAUUUUGCUCUACUCCCAAAUCUUAUCUCUAUUAGGAAACAACUUUUCUCUUUUUUUUUUUUUUUUUUUUUUUUUUUUUUGAGACGGAGUCUUACUCUGUUGCUCAGGCUGGAUGCAGUGGCGCAAUCUCGGCUCACUGCAACCUCCACUCACUGUAACCUCUGCCUCCCGGGUUCAAGCAAUUCUCCUGCCUCAGCCUCCCAAGGAGCUGGGAUUACAGGCGUGUGCCACCACACCCAGCUAAUUUUUUGGUAUUUUUAGUAGAGACGAGGUUUCACCAUAUUGGCCAGACUUGUCUUGAACUCCUGACCUUGUGAUCCGCCUGCCUCGGCCUCCCAAAGUGCUGCGAUUACAGGCGUGAGCCACUGUGCCCGGCCCUUUCUCUGUCUUUUAAAGGAUCCAUUCUCACUCUGCAAGUAUGAAGUCCUUUACCUGGGGAUCUGGAGUGCCUUCCCAGGGCCUGUGUGGUUGCCUUAUACACAUUAGACACAAAAUUUAGGGUAGGGCUCACAUUGACCAAACCUUUUCUGUUUAGGAAAUGGAGUUUUCCCUGUGUAUGAAUGAUUUCAAUAGGCAUUCAGUGAGACCUUUAAAUCAUGUUAAAGAGAUACAAUUGAGACUCAGGGUUGGGGAACACCCUGGAAACCCAACCCAGAAUUGUAAAAUAUUCUUUUAAAAAUUAUUAUUAUGUAAUAAACCAACAUCAGUUCUUUCCAAAAGAAUGGACCAUAGUAG
rnacentral:lncRNA from 10 species